CACGCGUGCUACACUGAUGCACUCAAUGAGUUCCUGGACNGAAAGGUGCGUGGNUAUNUUGAAUAUGGAUCGUGAUUGGGAUAGAUCAUUGUAAUUAUGGUUCUUGAACGAGGAAUUCCUAGUAANCGUAAGUCAUCAGCUUGCGCUGAUGA
rnacentral:rRNA from 1 species